rnacentral:rRNA from 1 species
ACAUACGACCAUAGGGUGUGGAAAACAGGGCUUCCCGUCCGCUCAGCCGUACUUAAGCCACGCGCCGGUGAGUUAGUAGUUGGGUGGGUGACCACCAGCGAAUCCUCACUGUUGUAUGUU